GGGGGUGUAACUCAAUGGUAGAGUGUGUGCUUAGCAUGCACAAGGCCCUAGGUUUAAUUCCCAGCACCACACA
rnacentral:tRNA from 1 species